AGCAGCCGCGGUAAUUCCAGCUCCAAUAGCGUAUAUUAAAGUUGCUGCAGUUAAAAAGCUCGUAGUUGAAUUUCGGGACUAAUAUGUCGGUCGUGCCUCGGUACGUACUGAUAUUUUUGGUUUCUCCCUUCUGACGAACCUUGAUGUCAUUAAUUUGGUGUCUUGGGAAAUCAGGACUGUUACUUUGAAAAAUUGAGUGUUUAAAGCAGGCACACGCUUGAAUACAUUAGCAUGGAAUAAUGAAAUAGGACGUUUGAUUCUAUUUUGUUGGUUUCUAGGAUCGACGUAAUGAUUAAUAGGGAUAGUUGGGGGCAUUAGUAUUCAAUUGUCAGAGGUGAAAUUCUUGGAUUUAUUGAAGACUAACUACUGCGAAAGCAUUUGCCAAGGAUGUUUCAUUAAUCAAGAACGAAAGUUAGGGAUCGAAGACGAUCAGAUACCGUCGUAGUCUUAACCAUAAACUAUGCCGACUAGGAUCGGAUGAUGUUAAUUUUUAAUGUACUC
rnacentral:rRNA from 1 species